GACGAACGCUGGCGGCGUGCUUAACACAUGCAAGUCGAACGAAGAGCGAUGGACGCUUGCUUCUAUCAAUCUUAGUGGCGAACGGGUGAGUAACGCGUAAUCAACCUGCCCUUCAGAGGGGGACAACAGUUGGAAACGACUGCUAAUGCCGCAUACGAUCUGACCUCGGCAUCGAGGAUAGAUGAAAGGUGGCCUCUAUUUAUAAGCUAUCACUGAAGGAGGGGAUUGCGUCUGAUUAGCUAGUUGGAGGGGUAACGGCCCACCAAGGCGAUGAUCAGUAGUCGGUCUGAGAGGAUGAACGGCCACAUUGGGACUGAGACACGGCCCAGACUCCUACGGGAGGCAGCAGUGGGGAAUCUUCCGCAAUGGACGAAAGUCUGACGGAGCAACGCCGCGUGAGUGAUGACGGCCUUCGGGUUGUAAAGCUCUGUUAAUCGGGACGAAAGGCCUUCUUGCGAAUAGUUAGAAGGAUUGACGGUACCGGAAUAGAAAGCCACGGCUAACUACGUG
rnacentral:rRNA from 1 species